UUCACAAGUCAGGCCUCAACCUGUGUCCAGCAACAAUACACUGAAUCACAGAGUUGCAUCACGGAGAGACGAAACUUCCUAUCAUACCCAUAAUGGAAACACAAGUCAGCAUCAGACACUUAAUUCCCGAAUUUCUAACAUGUAUGGUGCCGAGCCGAUUGUGAGAAAAUGUCAUCUCAACAAGCUUUCAAGAGGACCCUCCCGUCAUCUCUUCAACCAUCAGACAGUUAAUACUGAUCCUGAGGAAACCUUGGUUUGAAUAUGGUUGCUGCAUGUCAAUGUUAUUCUAUUGGAUCCUUGGUGGAAUCCAACAACUGAAGAUCAAGCUAUUGGGCAGACUCGUCCUGUUACCAUGACACGGUUCACUAUAAAAGAUAUGGUCGAAGAUAGAAUACUGAAUCUUCAGGAAGACGAGAGAAAAAUGGUUGCAUCUGCUUUUGGUGGAGACCAUGUUGGCAGUUCUACCACUCGCCUUACAGUGGAUGAUCUGAAAUAUCUUUUCAUGGUCUAGAAUGCUGCUUACUCGUUCUUCCCAUUUUAGUUGAUGAUAGCACUAGCAAGUUUUGUUUUCGACGGUUAGGCUUGGAGUUAAGAUGGUUCUUAAGGGAUAUGUCUGUUUUUUUCGUUCCUGCUGAUAUCUGUUGCUCAAGUUGGCUGGUGAGGUUGGUUGAUCCUAGUAGUAGCUUACAUGUUUUCAAGCCCACAAGGGCAUUUUUGUCCUCAGAACUGCUUUAAAUCCAUGUUUUCAAGCUUACAUGUAUUUACAGCAUCUUGUGGAUUACUUGGACCAGCAUUAACAUAGUAGUCAACUCCUUCCUUACGAGAAAUACUUCCUCCUUGUAAUGAACUCAUUGGAUUUACAGCAUCUUGUGGAUUACUUGGAUCAGCAUUAACAUAGUAGUCAACUACUUCCUUACUAUAGGAAUACUU